rnacentral:rRNA from 1 species
AUGCGCGCUCGCCGCGCGCGCUGGCGGUGGCGCGGCGGUCCUCGCCCUCGCGCACCCGUACUCACACGACGACCGCGUCCUCCACAAGAUGGUAAGCCCCCCGGCCGCUCACCCGCAUUUCCUCGGCAGCAGGGCCAUCCUCGCGGACCACGCGGCGGCGGUGACGCUCUUCGGGCACCCCUGCGGCCGACUGAGCCUGGCCAUCUAUGA